rnacentral:other from 1 species
ACGGUUAUAAAUCAACAUAUUGAUUUAUAAGCAUGGAAAUCCCCUGAGUGAAACAACGAAUUGCUGUGUGUAGUCUUUGCCCAUCUCCCACGAUGGGCUUUUUUCUAU